rnacentral:rRNA from 1 species
UACGAAGGGGGCUAGCGUUGUUCGGAAUCACUGGGCGUAAAGGGCGCGUAGGCGGCUUUGUAAGUCGGGGGUGAAAGCCUGUGGCUCAACCACAGAAUUGCCUUCGAUACUGCAUGGCUUGAGACCGGAAGAGGUUAGUGGAACUGCGAGUGUAGAGGUGAAAUUCGUAGAUAUUCGCAAGAACACCAGUGGCGAAGGCGGCUCACUGGCCCAUAACUGACGCUGAGGCACGAAAGCGUGGGGAGCAAACAGG